rnacentral:rRNA from 1 species
UACGUAGGGUGCGAGCGUUGUCCGGAAUUAUUGGGCGUAAAGAGCGUGUAGGCGGCCCGGUAAGUCCGCUGUGAAAGUCCAGGGCUCAACCCUGGGAUGCCGGUGGAUACUGUCGGGCUCGAGUCCGGAAGAGGAGUGUGGAAUUCCUGGUGUAGCGGUGGAAUGCGCAGAUAUCAGGAGGAACACCAAUAGCGAAGGCAGCUCGCUGGGACGUUACUGACACUGAGGCGCGAAAGCUAGGGGAGCAAACAGG